AGCAGCCGCGGUAAUUCCAGCUCCAAUAGCGUAUAUUAAAGUUGUUGCAGUUAAAAAGCUCGUAGUUGAAUUUCGGGGUCAGUAGGUUGGUCAUGCCACCGGUAUGUACUGGUCUCACUGAUUCCUCCUUCCUGAUGAACUGUAAUGCCAUUAAUUUGGUGUUGCAGGGAAUCUGGACUGUUACUUUGAAAAAUUAGAGUGUUUAAAGCAGGCUAACGCCUGAAUACAUUAGCAUGGAAUAAUGAAAUAGGACGUUCGAUCCUAUUUUGUUGGUUUCUAGGAUUGACGUAAUGAUUAAUAGGGAUAGUUGGGGGCAUUAGUAUUCAAUUGUCAGAGGUGAAAUUCUUGGAUUUAUUGAAGACUAACUACUGCGAAAGCAUUUGCCAAGGAUGUUUUCAUUAAUCAAGAACGAAAGUUAGGGGAUCGAAGACGAUCAGAUACCGUCGUAGU
rnacentral:rRNA from 1 species